rnacentral:rRNA from 1 species
GUAGUCUCGCACAGAGGCAUAUCAAUAAGCGGAGGAAAAGAAACUAACAAGGAUUCCUCUAGUAACGGCGAGUGAAGCGGGAAGAGCUCAAAUUUGAAAUCUUAAAGGGUUUCCCUUUACGAAUUGUAGUUUAAAGAAGUGUUUUCUGUUGAGGUUUUGGUAAAAGUUCUUUGGAAUAGGACAUCAUAGAGGGUGAGAAUCCCGUAUUUGACCUUUACUUUCAACUUUGUGAUAUACUUUCAAAGAGUCGGAUUGUUUGGGAAUGCAGUCCAAAAUGGGUGGUAAAUUUCAUCUAAAGCUAAAUAUUGGCGAGAGACCGAUAGCGAACAAGUACCGUGAGGGAAAGAUGAAAAGAACUUUGAAAAGAGAGUUAAACAGUACGUGAAAUCGUCAAAAGGGAAGCGUUUGACACCAGUGUUGUUUUUCUGAAAAUCAAUUAAAGAACUGUUUAUGCUAAGCUGUUUAGACUUUAUCAGCUAUCUGUUUAGUUUUGAGCUUUUCUUUAAUGCACUUUUCAGUUAACAAGUCAACAUCAAUUUCUUUUGCUGUAAAAAAGCUUGAGGAAGGUGGCUUGAGAUUCGUCUUAAGUGUUUAUAGCCUCUUGCCUAUGCAGUCGGAGAGAUUGAGGUCUGCAGCGUAGAUCCUUCGGGGCUAAAUGCAUUUGUGCUAAGUUAUAGCAUUUUAUAGACAACUUGUUGACUAUGAUUUGUCUUGUAGCUUACUCGCUUAUGUUAUUUUACCUACGCUUAGGAUGUUGACGCGCGUGUGUGCGUG